GCUGUCAAUUUGCUGGCCGUCGGAUGGAGCCGGUUGCAUCCAACGGCUGAUGUUUUAACGUCACUUGAAAGAGGAUAACCGGUGAUACCGGUAUCAUUGUGGCCGAGCGCGUACAUGACCAUCUAAAUAGGAAUUUUUUACCCCGUUGAAGCCCUGGCCGUGCAACCAUCUCUCUCUUUUCCUGGAUUUGGUCCGGCAUCUACAUCCCUGUGCAACCCUUCUCUCUCCCUCAAUCCCUACAAGCAGCCACACCCCUGUGCAGCCGCCUCCACCUCUCUCUCUCUCUCUCUCUCUCUCUCUCUCUCUCUCUCUCUCAUUCCCUACUACCAUGCAGUCAGAAACAAAAACCAAUACAAAUGGGUUUGCAGAUGGGGCAUUGUAUUUGAACGUGGAUGAAACAAAUGGGUUUCCAGAUCAUUGGAUUGAGGUUGUUUUUUAGAGGUUGGAAAAUCAAAUGUGGGCCCUAUCUUCAUGUCUGGUCAGGUUAUCUGAUUGAAGUGAUUUUUGAGAGGGAUAAGCAACUCAGGGUGAACUGCUGGAUGGGCGGGAAAUAGCGGUGAAAAGGCUUUCGAGGAAUUCAGGACAAGGAAUGGAUGAAUUGAAGAAUGAGAUUGUACUGAUUGCCAAACUUCAACACAGGAAUCUGGUUAGGCUCUUGGGUUGUUGCUUGGAAGGAGAAGAGAAGCUGCUAGUGUAUGAAUAUGUUCCUAACAGGAGCCUUGACACAUUUCUGUUUGGUGAGUCCAAUUACACUAAAAUGAUUCAGUAGGAGGUUGCGUUUGGAUGUUCAACUGAAUGAAAUUGCAAUGAGGUCGGAUCCAAUGCAAAUGUUUUAUACGAAAAGCU